GCCGGAGUGGUGGAAUUGGAAGACGCGCCGGAUUCAAAAUCCGGUGGGCAUUACGCCCGUGUGGGUUCGAGUCCCACCUCCGGUA
rnacentral:tRNA from 1 species